UUAAGGAUCUGUGGACUGGAGCAGAGAUCAGGCUAUCCCUGGCUGGCGCCCGGGGCUCCCCCAGACUCCUCUCCCAGCCACAGGGCCGAGGGGCCAGUGCUUUUGGCUGACACCCCGCCUCCCGCCUGCAGCCCCAGUUUCCAGCCCUUGGCACAGAUAGGCUCUUGCGAAAGGGACGACUCCAACGCAGAGAUGCCCAGUCAGCACUGUGCCCUCUCCCGCCAAACGCGCUUACGCUGCCCAAGUGCACACUACGGUCUCCUUCACCCACAGGCUGCUCUAUAGAUGCGGUCUCAGUAUGUUGUCCAGGCUGAUCUCAGAUCCUUGGCCUCAAAGGAUCCUCCUGUCUGGGUCUCUCAAACUGCUGGGAAUACAAGCAUGAGCCACCACAGCUGACGAACAGCUAUUUUUGAAUAAAGUAAAGGAAGAGAGGGAGGGAGAGAAGAAGGAAGAAGAAAAAAAAGAAAAGAAGUGAAGGAGGGUUAACUACAGCCAAAGAAAAAGAAGCAGCCCAACAGAGAGCUCAGGAAAAUUACACUUCAUACAUCCAACUGCUAUGGAAGAGGAUGGAGGUGAGAAGCGGAGGGAGAAAGAAGGAUGUGAUAUUCCAUCCCCAUUAAGAAAAUUUUUCAAGCCCCCAAUCUGAACCUACUGAAUCAGAAUUUGAGGAGAUGAGACCUGUAUACCUAGAUUUUCAAAAGACUCUCAACUCUAUCCACUCUCAUCACUUCUAUUUAACAUUAUACUGGAGGUCCUGGCCAGGGAAGUAAGGCAAGUAAAAAAAAAUUC
rnacentral:lncRNA from 1 species